rnacentral:rRNA from 1 species
GACGAACGCUGGCGGAGUGCUUAACACAUGCAAGUCGAACGGAGUGGCGAACGGGUGAGUAACACGUGGGUGAUCUGCCCUGCACUUCGGGAUAAGCUUGGGAAACUGGGUCGAAAACCGGAUAGUGCAAGAUGAGCUGGCGGGCUAUCAGCUUGUUGGUGGGGUAAUGGACUACCAAGGCGUCGACGGGUAGCCGGCCUUGGAGGGUGUACGGCCUCGUUGGUCCUGAGAUACGGCCCAGACUCCUACGGGAGGCAGCAGUGGGGAAUAUUGCACAAUGGUCGGAAGCCUGUUGCAGCGACGCCGCGUGGGGGAUGAAGGCCUUCGGGUUGUAAACUCCUUUCGACAGAUACGCGGUACCUGUAUAAGAAGCACCGGCUAACUACGUGCCAGCAGCCGCGGUAAUUC